AGCAGCCGCGGUAAUUCCAGCUCCAAUAGCGUAUAUUAAAGUUGUUGCAGUUAAAAAAGCUCGUAGUUGAAUUUCGGGGUCAGUAAGUUGGUCGUGCCAAUGGUAUGUACUGGCUUUACUGAUUCCUCCUUCUUGAAGAACUGUAAUGCCAUUAAUUUGGUGUUGCAGGGAAUCAGGACUGUUACUUUGAAAAAAAUUAGAGUGUUUAAAGCAGGCUUACGCUUGAAUACAUUAGCAUGGAAUAAUGAAAUAGGACGUUGAUCUUAUUUGUUGGUUUCUAGGAUUGACGUAAUGAUUAAUAGGGAUAGUUGGGGGCAUUAGUAUUCAAUUGUCAGAGGUGAAAUUCUGGAUUUAUUGAAGACUAACUACUGCGAAAGCAUUUGCCAAGGAUGUU
rnacentral:rRNA from 1 species